CUUUUUUAUCUACCCAGAAUCAUUUUUGUUAGCACUGGGACCACCAUUGGACGAUAGUAUGUACUUAACGCGAUGACGUGUCUAAAUACGUGUGUGCCUUCAGAAAUGCGUUUUUUAUACAUAUAUAUUUUAAAAAGUAGAAGAAAAUCAAAACGAGUAGAUGAUAAAUCCAACGAUGAUCACCUAUAACAAAAAGAAAACUAUAUUAAUAUGCAAUCAAGAGUAAUAUAAUGGCCUGACAUAUAAAUCGUCCAAUUCGCAGAUGCACUUUUCAAUUGAAUACUCUAUUUACUUUUAUCAAAUCUCUAUUAUCUCAUGUAAUGAAAAUUAAUUUUAAACACGUGAUUUUACAUUUACAUAAAAUAUAUAAAAAUAAAGAAAUAGGAAAAGUACAAAUAUUAAGUUACUACAAAAAAUAAUGUCUCGGUACUAAAAUAACGUUAUACUAAAGUGUAUUAAUUUUCAAUAAAAUCAUUGAUGUAACUU